AUAAACCCGGGAAACUGGGUAUAAUACCCGAUAGAUCUCGAAUGCUGGAAUGCAUCGAGCUCGAAAGCUCCGGCGCCUAAGGAUGGGUCUGCGGCCUAUCAGGUAGUAGUGGGUGUAGCGUACCUACUAGCCUACGACGGGUACGGGUUGUGAGAGCAAGAGCCCGGAGAUGGAUUCUGAGACACGAAUCCAGGCCCUACGGGGUGCAGCAGGCGCGAAAACUUUACAAUGCUGGAAACAGCGAUAAGGGGACCUCGAGUGCCAGGUUACAAAUCUGGCUGUCGUGAUGCCUAAAAAGCAUUGCAUAGCAAGGGCCGGGCAAGACCGGUGCCAGCCGCCGCGGUAACACCGGCGGCUCGAGUGGUAACCGUUAUUAUUGGGUCUAAAGGGUCUGUAGCCGGCCGGAUAAGUCUCUUGGGAAAUCCAGCAGCUCAACUGUUGGGCUUUCAGGAGAUACUGUCUGGCUCGAGGCCGGGAGAGGUGAGAGGUACUUCAGGGGUAGGGGUGAAAUCUUGUAACCCUUGAAGGACCACCAGUGGCGAAGGCGUCUCACCAGAACGGACCUGACGGCAAGGGACGAAAGCUAGGGGCACGAACCGGAUUAGAUACCCGGGUAGUCCUAGCCGUAAACGAUACUCGCUAGGUGUCGGCCACGGUGCGACCGUUGUCGGUGCCGUAGGGAAGCCGUGAAGCGAGCCACCUGGGAAGUACGGCCGCAAGGCUGAAACUUAA
rnacentral:rRNA from 1 species